rnacentral:rRNA from 1 species
UACGUAGGGUGCAAGCGUUAUCCGGAAUUAUUGGGCGUAAAGAGCUCGUAGGCGGUUUGUCGCGUCUGCUGUGAAAACUCGAGGCUCAACCUCGGGCUUGCAGUGGGUACGGGCAGACUAGAGUGCGGUAGGGGUGACUGGAAUUCCUGGUGUAGCGGUGGAAUGCGCAGAUAUCAGGAGGAACACCGAUGGCGAAGGCAGGUCACUGGGCCGCAACUGACGCUGAGGAGCGAAAGCAUGGGGAGCGAACAGG